rnacentral:lncRNA from 1 species
GUUCUUUCUUCCCAGCCUCCCCCGCCACUCCAUCGCCAUCUAUCUUCACCCUUUUUCUUUUUCUUUCCCUUUCUUCCUUUCUUCUUCUUCUUUCUCAUUUUUUCUUCUCUUCUCUCCCUCCUCAUCACUUUCUUUCUCUGCAUUACCUAUAAGGGACUUUCACCGAGCACCAUGUGUGCACACAAAUGGUCGCUUCGCUGCUGUCCAAAGGGUCGCUCAUGGUGUCAACAACAGUAUUUCCAGCAUCCUAAGGGGUCGUGCAACUCCUCUUGUCCCAACGUGCGUUUGCCACUGGAGCGGGCCACAGGCGAAAGUCUGGGAGCAGGCGGGAGGGGUUUCCUCGGGCUGUGUUUCCUUAGACGGAAAGGAUGUUGCGGCAUCCAUGUUGUAGAAGAAGAAGAGGAGAAGAAGGAGGGUGAGGAUGAGAGAGAGGAGGAUUGGGUCCACUUUGGACGGGGGUUGGAGUGUUAUGGGCUUGCUGGUAAAUUCCAAUAGAGAUUAAAUAUAGGUUUGUUGAAGAACGCGUUGAUUAACUACAACUUGACUUGUGGUCUUGGGCUGUCGGUCGUCUCUGUUCUUUUUAUGUGGUUAUAAACGUAUGAAAUCUUCCCAGUUUUCUUUGACGAGUUAUAUUCAUUAGAGCAUCCGCGUGAGGCUCUCUAAUGGAGUAGAAAUAUAUGUUUAGGUAAAACUGAUUCAAUUCUAUUCAUCUCCAUAAUGAGCUAUUUAUAUGUUUACAUAGGGUUUUACAGGUUUAACAAGGAAAUAAAAUAAACUAGGAAACAAAGUCCUAAUUGUACAAGAAUUAGUCAACUACACUAAUUAGGAAAUCACUUUCCUGAACUCACGCACACGCCAACACUCCCCCUCAAUUUGGAGCAUAAAUGUCACCAAGGUCCAACUUGCUUAGCGUGUCCUGAAAUACUCGGCUUGAAACUGCUUUCGCCAAGAUAUCUGCCAACUGAUCUUCUGACUUUACAAACGGGAACUGAAGCAUCUUGUCUUCUAAUCAUUCUUUGAUGAAAUGCCUAUCCACUUCAACAUGUUUAGUUCGAUCAUGUUGAACUGGAUUAUAAGCAAUAUUAAUGGCCGCAAUAUUAUCACAAUAUAAUUUCAUGGGUUUUUUAGGCUUAAAACCUAUCUCCGUUAGAACAUGCUUAAUUCAUAACAACUCACAAACACCAUGUGCCAUACCUCUAUAUUCUGCCUCCACACUUGAUCUUGCAACAACAUUUUGUUUCUUACUACGCCAAGUAACAAGGUUACCUCCUACAAAAGUAAAGUAACCUGACGUGGAUCGUCUGUCUAUUUGGGACCCAGCCCAAUCCGCAUCUGUAUACCCAAUUACAUCCAGAUGUCCUUGCUUUGAAUACAUUAACCCUUUACCCAGAAUUGAUUUCAAAUAUCUCAAGAUGCGAGUCAUUGCAUCUCUAUGAACUUUACUUGGAGAGUGCAUAAACUGGCUUACAACACUCACAGCAUAUGCAAUGUCCGGUCUCGUAUGUGACAAAUAAAUUAACCUCCCAACUAGGCGCUGGUAUUGCUCCUUGUUAGUUGGUUUAUGAUCAGUACACUCACCAAGCUUGUGAUUUUCCUCCAUAGGCGUAUUAACUGGUUUAUACCCCAGCAUCCCUGUUUCAAUUAAUAAAUCCAUAACAUAUUUUCUUUGAGACAAGAAGAUACCUUGCUGUGAUCUAGAUACUUCUAUCCCGAGAAAAGACUUAAGUGUACCAAGAUCUUUCAUCUCAAACUCCUUAGAUAAGUACUCUUGCAAUGCUUUUCUUUCAUCAGGAUCAUCACCUGUUACGAUCAUAUCAUCAACAUAUACUAUCAAAGCUGUAAUUUUAUUUUCCUUAUGCUUCAAGAACAAAGUAUGAUCAAAAUUACUUUGUUUAUAUCCAAAUGCCCUCAUAGACUUUGUCAACCGCCCAAACCAUGCUCGAGGUGACUGUUUCAAACCAUACAAAGACUUCUUUAAUUUGCACACAUAGUGUUUCAAUUCGGAACUCAAGUUACAUCCAGGCGGAGGAUCCAUAUAAACUUCUUCUUCUAAAUAACCAUGUAAAAAGGCAUUUUUGACAUCGAAUUGGUGUAAUGGCCAAUCCAAGUUUGCAGCAAGUGAUAUCAGGAUUCGUACAGUAUUGAUUUUUGCUACUGGAGCAAACGUCUCCUGAUAAUCCACUCCAUAUCUCUGAGUAUACCCUUUUGCCACCAAUCGAGCUUUGUACCGUUCGAUCGAUCCAUCUGCCUUCAACUUUAUGGUAUAAAUCCAUCUACAACCCACAGUUCGUUUGCCACUUGGGAGAGGAACAAGUUUCCAUGUGGAAUUCUUUUGAAGAGCUUGCAUCUCAUCAUUCAUAGCUUGUUUCCAGUUUGGAUCCAUCAAAGCCUCUUCUACACUGCUUGGUGUAGACAAAGAAUCUAGUUGUUUGAUCAACAUGGCAUGUGGUGCGGACAAUCUAUGAGUGGAAACAUGGUUGCUAAUCGGGUACUUCACUUUAGCUUUGGGAUCCACUUCAUAUUGAAUCUUUGGGAUACCACGAUUCUUACGAACAGGUAAUUGGUAUGGUUGUAGAUGUAUCUCAUUAGAUGGAUCGUCUGAAAACAAAUCAGUUAAAUAUAAAUCUUCAACAUCAAUGUUCUGGGAUAUUACUUGGGUUGUAGGUUCAGAAGACACCUCAGAAGAUAAUUGGUUAAAUGGUACAGAAACUUCAGAAACGGGCAUCAAUACAUCAUUCUUCUCCCCCUAAAUGGGUGACUGAGUUAUGGGUGAGGAGACCAACCGUGACCGGUCAUCAAGACUGUCGUGCGUAGUUUCUGGAGUGGUAUCUGACGAGUUGGUUAGUGCAUCCUGAACUGUCGGAUGACAUAACGACUCCAAAGUAACGAAACCUUCCAGGUCGAACCGAUCAUCAACAGUAUCUGGACUCGCCAGUGCCUGAACUCCCCCCAAAAAAUACAUUUCUUCUUCUCCAAAAACCACAUCCAUAGUGAUGUAGAGCUUCUGAGUAGGGGAUGAUAGCAGCGAUACCCUUUUUGAUGUUGGGCAUAGCCAAUAAACACGCACUUGAGUGCUCGAGGCUCCAACUUGUUGCGCUGAUGUGUAUAAAGAUGAACGAAAGUUACACAUCCAAAAACUCGUGGCUCCAAAUUGGGAGUGAAAUGAAGGGCACAAAACUGACGAAGGGCUUGUAAUGGUGUUUGGAAGUUCAAGACACUAGAGGGAACCCGAUUAAUAAGAUACGCAGCAGAACACACUGCUUCUCCCUAAAAAGAACGAGGCAUUUGAGCAUCAAACAAUGAAGCUCGAACCACUUCUAACAAAUGACGAUUUUUGCGCUCUGCUACCCCAUUUUGCUGAGGAGUAUAUGGACAUGUUCGUUGAUGUUCAAUUCCAUGAGCUUCUAAAAACUGACAAAGAUCAUGAUUCACAAAUUCACCCCCAUUAUCAGAACGAAGGAUCUUCAUUUUUGCAUGAAACUAAGUGUCUACCAUCUUGUAAAACUGUUGAAAUGUGGUACACACCUCCCCCUUGGUUUUUAAGAGAGAAAUCCAAGUCAUACGUGUGCAAUCAUCAAUAAAGGUAACAAACCAACGAGCACCAGAAGAAGUAGAAAUUGGAGCAGGACCCCAAACAUCAGAAUGAACAAUUGCAAAAGGCACCGUACUUUUAUUCAUACUCAAAGUGAAGAAAACUCGAUGGCUUUUUGCCAGUUCACAAACAUCACACUUAAAAUUAAAAUCUGAAAGUUUACUAAACCAUGAAGGAAACAACUUUUUAAGAUAUCCAAAGGAGGCAUGACCCAACCGUCUAUGCCACAACCAAAUAAAAUUCUGAUUUUUCUCGGUCGGAUCUCCACUAGUCUUGAAGGCUUGAGAAAUCCGAGUCUCACCACUUGUUGCCAAAUCCAGAAAAUACAGCUUGCCCUUUCUAGUACCAUAACCAAUUAUCUUCCUUGUGAGGAUGUCCUGAAAAAUACAACAAUUUGGCCAAAACGUUACAGUACAAAAAAGAGCAUGAGUAAUUUGCGCAACAGAUAGCAAAUUAAAAUCCAAUGACGGCACAACAAGUACUGAAUCCAGGUGCAACGAAUCUGUAAGGGAUAAAGAACCCUCUCCAACAACAGGAGAGGAACUACCAUUUGCAUUGGAUACUACCGACUGUGAAGAUGGAGACAAAGAUGUGAUUUUAUUCGAAUCACAUGUCAUAUGAUCAGAGGCGCCUGAAUCAAUAAUCCAGACAUUACUGGUGGGUGAGGUGGAAGAAACAUUCAAUGCAUAACCAGUUGUACCUGAUGUAGCCAUGGACGCAGAUGCAGAAGUAUGUUCAUUUGAUUUGUUGCCACUUACAGGGGAGGUCUCUGGAGUAGCAGAGGCUUGGAGUGCCUUAUGACCAUUUCUUUUAUUCUUAGAAUGAUCCCACCAAGAUGGAAAGCCAACUAAUUCAUAACAAUGUUCACGAGUGUGCUUUGAACCACCACAAUGAGUGCACUUGAAAACUGGUUUGUCCUUCACCCCCUGGGUCGAGGAACUCCCAUGAGAUGAAGGUGGUCCUUUGGAACGUUGAGCCACCAUGACAGUAGCAUCAAGAGAGGCGGCAGCACCAGUAAAAUUGGCGCGUUGUUGUGCAUCACGGCGAACAUAAGCAAAACUUUGGUCGAGAUCCAAUUUAGGUUCCUUGCGGAGGAUUUCACUACGGACUUGAUCAAAUUCGGGAUCCAAUCCAGAAAGAAAAAUAUGAACUGAAGACGGUCGAGUUUUUUUUUUGGUAUGUAUCAGUGUCAGCAGUGCACACCAUAGAUGGGGGGUCGCGAUGAUCCAGUUCCUGAAAAAGACUCUGAAGCAUGCUAUAAUAUUUGGAAACAGGUUGGCCAUUCUGUUUGAGGGUGAAUGCCUUCCUGUUCAAUUCGUAAACUUGAGAUUCGUCGGAUCCAUCAUAGAAAACUUUCUUGACAGCAGCCCAAAUCUCCUUGGCAGUGCGAAGACGAAUAAAGCGGCCCAUCAACUCAGGGGACAUAGAAUCAAUUAACCAACCUUUGACUCGUAGAUUUUCAGUGGUCCAUGCAUCAAAAGUAGGAGCAGAUUCUGCUGGCAUAGAAAUAGAGCCAGUAAGAUAGCCCAACUUUCCACGGGUAGCAAUUCGAAUUUCCAUGAGUUGAGACCAAAGAGCAUAAUUGGUCUCAUUGAGAAUAACUCCUGUAGGCAACGCAGAAUUAUCAUUCUGGAUGGUGACAAUCUGUGGAACCAACGAAGUUGGAGGUUGUGCAACGGAGGUCGAAGAACUAUCCGGGAGAACAAGGGAAGCCUCGGGUGUUGUCAUCGCAGCGGAAAUUGAUGGUGUGGAAGUAUGAACUCAAUAUAUGUGGAGGAUGGAUGAAAAACUUAUGAACUCAAUAUAGGUUUGAAUUCAAUUAGAGGGUUUGGGAUAAACAAGAAACCACUAGAUCGGUGGCUCUGAUACCAAGUAGAAAUAUAUGUUUAGGUAAAACUGAUACUAUUCAUCUCCAUAAUGAGCUAUUUAUAUGUUUACAUAGGGUUUUACAGGUUUAACAAGGAAAUAAAAUAAACUAGGAAACAAAGUCCUAAUUGUACAAGAAUUAGUCAACUACACUAAUUAGGAAAUCACUUUCCUGAACUCACGCACACGCCAACGAAUGGGACAAAAGCUUGCAAUUUAUAUUCAUUAGCAGCAUGAAGGUAAAUAACAAGUUGUCUAAUGUGAAGAAAUUGUUGGAGGAAAAUAGGAAAUAUGAAUUUAAAGAUAAUAAUAUUUCUCAAUAAAAUUGUAAUCAUCAAAUACAAUAACAAAUUUACAUGAAAUUAAUGUAAAUUAACAAACACAAAUAGAAAAUACUGACAACUUUAGCGAUUGUGGCUUGUAAGAAUUGCAAUGUCUUAAACACAAAAUUCGCCAUUGCUCUUGUGCUCACAGUUCUAUAGGCGUCUAUCUCCCAAGAUUCAACAAUCGAUAAUCCUAAAUUGAAGCACUUCAAUUUAAGACUCUGGCGAAUGAUAAGUGCAUUGUUUCCUAUAUUUGUAUAUCUCUUAUAUUUGGUUUUUGUAGGGAAAAUUAACUAGAAAUAGCAUUAUUACCUUACUUUCCUUAUUUUCAGCUAUUAUGCGCUCUUGGAAGGGUUUUGACUGAAAAUCCACUUUUCGAAUGAAUUUUAGUGCAAGGCCAGGUGGAGAAGAAAGCUAG